UGGGGAAUAUUGCACAAUGGGGGAAACCCUGAUGCAGCGACGCCGCGUGAGUGAAGAAGUAUUUCGGUAUGUAAAGCUCUAUCAGCAGGGAAGAAAAUGACGGUACCUGACUAAGAAGCCCCGGCUAACUACGUGCCAGCAGCCGCGGUAAUACGUAGGGGGCAAGCGUUAUCCGGAUUUACUGGGUGUAAAGGGAGCGUAGACGGUUGUGCAAGUCUGAUGUGAAAGCCCGGUGCUCAACGCCGGGACUGCAUUGGAAACUGUAUAACUAGAGUGCAGGAGAGGUAAGCGGAAUUCCUAGUGUAGCGGUGAAAUGCGUAGAUAUUAGGAGGAACACCAGUGGCGAAGGCGGCUUACUGGACUGUAACUGACGUUGAGGCUCGAAAGCGUGGGGAGCAAACAG
rnacentral:rRNA from 1 species